rnacentral:rRNA from 1 species
AAUGAACGUUGGCGGCAUGGAUUAGGCAUGCAAGUCGCGCGACAAGCCAUUUUAGCUUGCUAUUGAUGGUGGAGGAGCGGCGUAAGGGAGAGUAACGGGUGGAUUAUCUGCCCCCAGGUCCGGGAUAGCUGCGGGAAACUGCAAGUAAUACCGGAUAACAUCUGCGGAUCAAAGGUGUGAUUCCGCCUGGGGAUGAGUCCGCCUCCUAUUAGCUUGUUGGUGGGGUAACGGCCUACCAAGGCUACGAUGGGUACCGGGUGUGAGAGCAUGGCCCGGCUCACUGGGACUGAGACACUGCCCAGACACCUACGGGUGGCUGCAGUCGAGAAUCUUCGGCAAUGGACGAAAGUCUGACCGAGCGAUGCCGCGUGCGGGAUGAAGGCCUUCGGGUUGUAAACCGCUGUCAGUUUGGGAGGAAAGGGGGUCAUCCUCCAUAGUUGACCUAUCUUCAGAGGAAGGACGGGCUAAGUUCGUGCCAGCAGCCGC